UACGUAGGGUGCGAGCGUUGUCCGGAAUUAUUGGGCGUAAAGGGCUCGUAGGCGGUCUGUCACGUCGGGAGUGAAAACACGGGGCUUAACCCCGUGCCUGCUUCCGAUACGGGCAGACUAGAGGUAUGCAGGGGAGAACGGAAUUCCUGGUGUAGCGGUGAAAUGCGCAGAUAUCAGGAGGAACACCGGUGGCGAAGGCGGUUCUCUGGGCAUUACCUGACGCUGAGGAGCGAAAGUGUGGGGAGCGAACGGG
rnacentral:rRNA from 1 species